rnacentral:lncRNA from 1 species
GCGAAGGGAGCCCGGGCGCGGCUUCGGCCGCGUUCCUCGUGCUCCGACGGAGCCAAUGGCUCCUGGCCUGGACGUGCCGCCCUGAAGCCACUGGAGUCGCCGAAGCCGCAACUUCGCGGUUGGCAGGUCCGGCUCGACGUUUCCCGUUUUCCAACGAUGGCAGCCAGGGAAGGCGCCAUUGGAGAAGUUGGUGACCCACAGGCUUGAACUGAGGGAGAGAAGGGUCCGGAUCCUCUUUUCGGCAGUUACAACGUGGUCGCUCGGCAGGGGCAGCCCAUGACUCGCCGGUGGUCUUUGAGCUGACAAACUCACAGCCGCUGAGGGAGCAGGAGCUGUUGCGCAGCCAUUGGUACCUGUAUUGGGGAAACAUAGCAUACAAGCAAGAAGCUUACAGCCUCAGUGGCGAAAAAUUUUUCAUGUCAGAGACCGAGAACUCUUGCAGUCGUUUAUGUCAUCCCUUCUUCUCCAGACAGAAGAUACCAAAAAGUUGCAAUCAAAGAUCUGUUCAUCUUAUUGAUAAAGUCACUAAUAAGCCAAAAUGUCUGUCAACGUCAACCGCAGCGUGUCAGACCAGUUCUAUCGCUACAAGAUGCCCCGUUUGAUUGCUAAGGUUGAGGGCAAAGGAAAUGGAAUCAAGACAGUUAUAGUCAACAUGGUUGACGUUGCAAAGGCGCUUAAUCGGCCUCCAACGUGUAAGUAAAGCUUGGAGAAGCCUGAAAAGGUAUCUUAUGGAUAUAGUUUUCACAGUCUUUAAGCUAUACAUCUUUCUUCAGUCAUGUUAAUUAGCAAGUGUGGAACACUGCGUGGACCUAUUGAUUGGGUGUCAUUAAACCGCCGUGGCUGUGUUUCAGUUGCCCUGUAAUUUUAACACACGGUGAGUUUGUAUAAAUGUUCGUGUGCAGCCAGUGCUUUAGUUAACUAUAAUGAAAUUUCUCAUCUUUAUAUAGAUCCCACCAAAUAUUUUGGUUGUGAGCUGGGAGCACAGACCCAGUUUGAUGUUAAGAAUGACCGUUACAUUGUCAAUGGAUCUCAUGAGGCGAAUAAGCUGCAAGACAUGUUGGAUGGAUUCAUUAAAAAAUUUGUUCUCUGUCCUGAGUGUGAGAAUCCUGAAACAGAUCUGCAUGUCAAUCCAAAGAAGCAAACAAUAGGUAAUUCUUGUAAAGCCUGUGGGUACCGAGGCAUGCUUGACACACAUCAUAAACUCUGUACAUUCAUUCUCAAAAACCCACCUG